GACGAACGUUGGCGGCGUGCUUAAUACAUGCAAGUCAACUGAAGCAGUGGUAGCAAUAUCGCUGUGGAGGUGGCGCACGGGUGAGUAACACGUAGGUAAUCUGCCUUCAGGUCUGGCAUAACUCCGGGAAACCGGGGCUAAUAGCAGAUGAUGCAGCGGCUCGACAUCGAGACAGUUGUUAAAGCUAUGGCGCCUGAAGAUGAGCCUGCGUCUGAUUAGCUAGUUGGCGGGGUAACGGCCCACCAAGGCAACGAUCAGUAGCUGGUCUGAGAGGAUGAUCAGCCACACUGGAACUGAGACACGGUCCAGACUCCUACGGGAGGCAGCAGUAAGGAAUAUUGCUCAAUGGGAGAAAUCCUGAAGCAGCAACGCCGCGUGAGGGACGAAGGGCUUUGGCUUGUAAACCUCUGUAGUGAGAGAAAAGAAUCCCAAUCUUUGGGACAUGAUGGUAUCUCAAAAGUAAGCCCCGGCUAACUACGUG
rnacentral:rRNA from 1 species